AUUGAACGCUGGCGGCAGGCUUAACACAUGCAAGUCGAGCGAGCGGCGGACGGGUGAGUAAUGUCUGGGAAACUGCCUGAUGGAGGGGGAUAACUACGGGAAACGGUAGCUAAUACCGCAUACCAUCAGAUGUGCCCAGAGGGGAUUAGCUAGUAGGUGGGGUAAGGGCUCACCAAGGCGACGAUCCCUAGCUGGUCUGAGAGGAUGACCAGCCACACUGGGACUGAGACACGGCCCAGACUCCUACGGGAGGCAGCAGUGGGGAAUAUUGCACAAUGGGCGCAAGCCUGAUGCAGCCAUGCCGCGUGUGUGAAGAAGGCCGUCGGGUUGUAAAGUACUUUCAGUGGGGAGGCGUUACUCGCAGAAGAAGCACCGGCUAACUCCGUGCCAGCAGCCGCGGUAAUAC
rnacentral:rRNA from 1 species